UUAUGAAUCUAAACUUAAUAUGUUACAUGUUUUGACAUGCAACAUCUGAAUAUUAAUUGUUUGACUUAGUUGGACAAUUCCAAAAUCUGAAGUUUGAUGGACUAAAACAAUUAAUAUAAAAACAGAAUAUUAAUGUAUAAAACAUUAAUAAUUUAAUAAAAACUCAAUAUUGAUUGACAUAUUAUAAAUAUUCAAUUAAAAACUGAAACUUAAAAGACUUAAAACGUUUCAUUAAUCAUGAAAAACGUUUCUUACAUUAUGUCUUCAUUAAACAGCCAAAACAAAAUGUUUUCAGCACUUAAUUGCCUGAUAAUCGAUUAUCAGGUCCUUGAUAAUCGAUUAUCAGGGCUUGCUGGUCCAGGAUAAUCGAUUAUCUUAAACAGAUAAUCGAUUAUUCUGACAUUCUGGAAUUUCCAAAUUUUGCUGAAAAUUGAGAUAAUCGAUUAUUCAAAAUUGAAUAAUCN
rnacentral:lncRNA from 1 species